AAAUGAACAAAGCAUGUUAUUGCUCACAGAGAUUCAAUUGUGCGUCAUCAUGCCUGUUCUGUCUGAUGCCUUCUUACUUUGAUGGGGGGCCCCAGUUUCCACAUACAUUC